UUGCGGCGGCUACACAUGCAAGUCGAGCGCGCCCUUCGGGGUGAGCGGCGGACGGGUUAGUAACGCGUGGGAACGUGCCCUUUUCUAAGGAAUAGCCACUGGAAACGGUGAGUAAUACCUUAUACGCCCUUCGGGGGAAAGAUUUAUCGGAGAAGGAUCGGCCCGCGUUAGAUUAGGUAGUUGGUGGGGUAAUGGCCUACCAAGCCUACGAUCUAUAGCUGGUUUGAGAGGAUGAUCAGCAACACUGGGACUGAGACACGGCCCAGACUCCUACGGGAGGCAGCAGUGGGGAAUUUUCCGCAAUGGGCGCAAGCCUGACGGAGCAAUACCGCGUGAGGGAGGAAAGCCUUUGGGUUGUAAACCUCUUUUAUCAGGGAAGAAAAUUUGACAGUACCUGAAGAAAAAGCAUCGGCUAACUCCGUGCCAGCAGCCGCGGUAAUACGGAGGAUGCAAGCGUUGUCCGGAAUCAUUGGGCGUAAAGGGUCUGCAGGUGGCCAUUCAAGUCUGCUGUCAAAGACCGGGGCUCAACUCCGGGAAGGCAGUGGAAACUGGGUGGCUAGAGUACGGUAGAAGUAGAGGGAAUUCUCAGUGUAGCGGUGAAAUGCGUAGAUAUUGGGAAGAACACCGGUGGCGAAAGCGCUCUACUGGGCCGAAACUGACACUGGGGGACGAAAGCUAGGAAAGCGAAAGGGAUUAGAUACCCCUGUAGUCCUAGCUGUAAACGAUGGAUACUAGGUGUAGCUUGUAUCGACCCGAGCUGUACCGAAGCUAACGCGUUAA
rnacentral:rRNA from 1 species